AACCCGACUCCGUGAAGCUGGAUUCGCUAGUAAUCGCGCAUCAGCCAUGGCGCGGUGAAUACGUUCCCGGGCCUUGUACACACCGCCCGUCAAGCCAUGGGAGCCGGGGGUGCUUGAAGUGCGUCGCCGCAAGGCGCGCCCUAGAGCAAAACCGGCGACUGGGGCUAAGUCGUAACAAGGUACC
rnacentral:rRNA from 1 species